UGAGAAAGUCGCGGAAUAACGUUUAUCUUGUCCUAUCGAAAUAUAUCCGUGUUGUGGGAGAACGCCGAAGGGAACUCAGGAAGGAAAUGGACACGCUCAACUCUUUCUCAAUGAACACCAACCAUCAGUAACAUCCCAAGCAUAACCGUAAAAAGGUGGCAGAAACAAAUGCAAGGAUCCUGUGACCCUGUGUCGCUCGGGAAUCCCGUUACGGUUGAAACCACAGCGUGAAAUCGCAGCAUCCGUCUGUGCCACAGUGGAUGUGACGCACUGAACGAGAUUCCAUGUCGUCUGUGUCGGAGCGAGGAAAAUCCCGACGCCUGAUCUGAUAAGACGGGACAACUGCGUCUCAUAUUCAUUUCGCCGUUGAAUUGGACAGGAUCGCCGAGAGGGAGAAGUUGGUCAGGAUUUUGUAAGAAAGUCAUGCACAACUUGAUUACAUUUAAUAUAUUGAAAUUUUAUUCUCAUUUCGUAUUUCAUUCA